rnacentral:lncRNA from 1 species
ACUACUGUUUCUUUUCUCUUUCCUAUGGAUCUCAAGAAGAAACACAAACUUGAAGAAAACAGCACCAGAAGCUGGUGGAGCAUGGCCUAUUAUUGGCCAUCUCCGCCUCUUAGGAGGGUCACAACCACCUCAUAUAAGCUUGGGUAACCUGGCAGACAAAUAUGGAGGAAUCUUCACCAUCAGGUUGGGUGUAAAUAGAGCUUUGGUGGUGAGCAAUUGGGAGAUAGCUAAAGAAUGUCUCACCAUAAACGAUAAAGCGUUUGCCAGUCGCCCAAAGCUUGCAAGCUCGGAAAUUUUGGGUUACAACUGUGCCAUGAUAGCCUUGGCACCGUAUGGACCUUAUUGGCGUCAAGUGCGCAAAUUCGCCACAAUUGAGCUCCUCUCAAAUCACCGACUCGAAUUGCUUAAACUUGUGCGGGAAUCCGAGGUGAAGGCAUCACUGCAACAAUUAUACCAGCUGUGGAACAAGAAGAAAAGUAGUAACUGUGGCAAAGUAAUGGUGGAGAUGAAGAGAUGGUUCAGAGAUGUUACUCUUAACGUGGUACUAAGGAUUGUUGUAGGGAAGCGAAUACCGAAUUCAUACGAAGGAGAUGAAACCGUGAAAUGGAAGAAGUCGUUGGACGACUUGUUUGAACUAAGUGGGAAGUUCUUAAUAUCAGAUGCGUUGCCUUAUCUGAGAUGGUUGGACAUAGGUGGAGAUGAGAAGUCUAUGAAGAAGGUA